AUGGCAAAGUUUUCUUUCAUGUCAAUUAUCGUCAUUGUCUUCUUUAUUUCAGUUAUAGAAAUGACAAGUGCUACAAACAUAUUGGCAAAAGAAUGUGUCAUCACUCGUGAUGGUCAAUGCAUCCUUGAACCUUGCAAAGAAUGGUGUUUAAAUACAUAUAAGGGUCAUGGAGCAUGCGUUGCUACAACUGGAAAUCCUCCUACUUAUAAAUGUCAUUGCACAUACUAUUGUUCCACCUAG